rnacentral:rRNA from 1 species
CUUUCAGCAACGGAUCUCUUGGCUCUCGCAUCGAUGA